UCCAAGGUGAACAGCCUCUGG
rnacentral:ncRNA from 2 species